AUAUCUCUCUGUACGGGAAGGAUGAGAAGCUUCUACCAGGGUUCGAUUCGAGCGCAGCGAGAAAGCGUUGCCGCAGGCAACGACCCGAAGGG
rnacentral:sRNA from 1 species